UACGGGGGGGGCAAGCGUUGUUCGGAAUUACUGGGCGUAAAGGGCUCGUAGGCGGCCAACUAAGUCAGACGUGAAAUCCCUCGGCUUAACCGGGGAACUGCGUCUGAUACUGGAUGGCUUGAGUUUGGGAGAGGGAUGCGGAAUUCCAGGUGUAGCGGUGAAAUGCGUAGAUAUCUGGAGGAACACCGGUGGCGAAGGCGGGUCUCUGGGCCGAUACUGACGCUGAGGAGCGAGAGCGUGGGGAGCGAACCGG
rnacentral:rRNA from 1 species